rnacentral:rRNA from 1 species
CAGUUUCUAUCCUCUUUUUGAAAUAAGCUAAUUUUGUACGAAAGGACUUUUUCGCUAAAGCAAUGCUUUGUCACAAAUCUGUGUUUGCAUGAAUAAUAGUGUAUAAUAGGUUGAUUAGCCUAUAGAAAGGGUUA